UACAGAGGUGCCAAGCGUUAGGCGGAAUCACUGGGCUUAAAGCGCGCGUAGGCGGAUGUUUAAGUGUCUUGUGAAAUCCCACGGCUCAACCGUGGAACUGCUGGGCAUACUGGACAUCUCGAGGCACUCAGGGGCGAGCGGAACAAGUGGUGGAGCGGUGAAAUGCGUAGAUAAUCAUUUGGAACGCCAAUGGUGAAAACAGCUCGCUGGGAAUGAUCUGACACUGAGACGCGAAAGCCAGGGGAGCGAACGGG
rnacentral:rRNA from 1 species